GGAAGGACAUGGCAGAGUAAAGCUAUUUACGUCAGGGUGGCCAGUAAACCAAGGGAAAAAGCCAGGAAGAAAGGGUUCCAGGAACAGGAGUAGUCCCCAAAGGGCUCAGCCACUCCCUUCCCUCGGACCCCUCUUCUACAUUUCCACCAGCUUCCAGUAUUGCCAUCGGAUUAUGAACCCAUCCAUGGAUUAUGAACCCAUCCAUGGAUUAUGAACCCAUCCAUGGAUUAAUCCGCCAAUGAAGUUAGAUCCAGUCACCUUCCAAAAACCUUGGCGGGUAAUCAACACCCCAGCAUGGCACGUGGCCUUGGGAAACUUUCCUGAUCCAAACCACAACAAAAGGCAGCAAACUUUUAUCUGGUCUUUCCGAAGUAUUCAACUUGGCUUUCAUAAAAACUACAGUUCUUUACACAUGACAUGAGCUCACAUAAUCAUGACAUAAUGAAAUUUGCUGUCUUUAACGUGGUAUGAAAUACGUGCAUAAUGUUAUACAGCCGCUGCCACCGUCCAUCUCUGAGGCUCCACCUUGUACAGCUCCACUCCUGGAGUUUGACUACUCCAGGUAGUGCUCUAUGACCAGAAAGACUUACCACACAUCUGGGGUGAAAGUUUCAUUCUGGAAUCGCCAAGGGUGAGUUUUGUAAAU